rnacentral:rRNA from 1 species
UGGGGAAUUUUGGACAAUGGGCGAAAGCCUGAUCCAGCAAUGCCGCGUGUGUGAAGAAGGCCUUCGGGUUGUAAAGCACUUUUGUCCGGAAAGAAAUCCUUGGCUCUAAUACAGUCGGGGGAUGACGGUACCGGAAGAAUAAGCACCGGCUAACUACGUGCCAGCAGCCGCGGUAAUACGUAGGGUGCAAGCGUUAAUCGGAAUUACUGGGCGUAAAGCGUGCGCAGGCGGUUUGCUAAGACCGAUGUGAAAUCCCCGGGCGUCAACCUAGGGCAACUGGCAUUGGCUGCAUGCUGGGCAGGCUAGAGUAUGGCAGAGGGGGGUAGAAUUCCACGUGUAGCAGUGAAAUGCGUAGAGAUGUGGAGGAAUACCGAUGGCGAAGGCAGCCCCCUGGGCCAAUACUGACGCUCAUGCACGAAAGCGUGGGGAGCAAACAGGAUUAGAUACCCUGGUAGUCCACGCCCUAAACGAUGUCAACUAGUUGUUGGGGAUUCAUUUCCUUAGUAACGUAGCUAACGCGUGAAGUUGACCGCCUGGGGAGUACGGUCGCAAGAUUAAAACUUAAAUGAAUUGACGGGGUCAUAGCUGUUUCCU